GCGCCCGUAGCUCAGCUGGAUAGAGUGUCGCCCUCCGAAGGCGAAUGUCGGAGGUUCGAGUCCUCUCGGGCGCGCCA
rnacentral:tRNA from 1 species